CCUACGGGAGGCUGCAGUGAGGAAUAUUGGUCAAUGGGCGAGAGCCUGAACCAGCCAAGUCGCGUGAGGGAAGACGGUCCUAUGGAUUGUAAACCUCUUUUGCCGGGGAGCAAAAAGCGGUACGUGUACCGCAUCGAGAGUACCCGGAGAAAAAGCAUCGGCUAACUCCGUGCCAGCAGCCGCGGUAAUACGGAGGAUGCGAGCGUUAUCCGGAUUUAUUGGGUUUAAAGGGUGCGCAGGCGGCGAGUUAAGUCAGCGGUAAAAUUUCGGGGCUCAACCCCGACAAGCCGUUGAAACUGGCGUGCUAGAGUGGGCGAGAAGUAUGCGGAAUGCGUGGUGUAGCGGUGAAAUGCAUAGAUAUCACGCAGAACUCCGAUUGCGAAGGCAGCAUACCGGCGCACAACUGACGCUCAGGCACGAAAGCGUGGGUAUCGAACAGGAUUAGAUACCCGGGUAGUC
rnacentral:rRNA from 1 species